CUCCUCCGCUCUCGGUGACGGUGGCGGUUCCGCAUCCGCCGCUGUCCGUCGCUUCCGCCAUGGCCGCCACUUCCGGCUCCUGAGGCCUUCACUUCCGCCCCCCCGGGGCCUUCACUUCCGCCUUUCCGGGACCUUCACUUCCGCCUCUUGCGGCCUUCACUUCCGGCUCCCCGCGGCCUUCACUUCCGCCUCCUGAGGCCUCCACUUCCGGCUCCCCGCGGCCUUCACUUCCGCCUCCUGAGGCCUCCACUUCCGCCCCCCCGGGGCCUCCGCUCGUCUCCUCCGCCCCAGGGGUUCGGUCCGGUACUUCCGGUGCGGUUCUAACGAUCGGAUAACUUCCGGUGAGACACUUCCGGUGAGACACUUCCGGUUGGUGAUCUCAGUGCCGGUCACUAAUAGGAGCGCAGAUCGCCUCAUGUAAGGAGGGAUGAAGCAGGGAGAACCAAUAGGAAAGGAGAUCACCUCAGAUGGGGGCGGGACGAGGAAGGAAGAACCAAUAGGAGAGCAGAUCGCCUCAGGGGGGGCGGGAUUAACAGGGAGGAGCCAAUGGGAGAAGAGAUCACCUCAGAGAGGGGGCGGGAUUAACGGGGAGGAGCCAAUGGGAGAAGACAUCACCUCAGAGAGGGGGCGGGAUUAAAGGGGAGCAACCAAUGGGAGAGGAGAUCACCUCAGAGAGGGGGCGGGGCUAACAGGGAGCAGCCAAUGGGAGAAGAGAUCACCUCAGAGAGGGGGCGGGAUUAAACGGGAGCAACCAAUGGGAGAGGAGAUCACCUCAGAGAGGGGGCGGGACUAACAGGGAGCAGCCAAUGGGAUGAGGGAACGUUCUCGGAGGACUUCCGGCGACUACCGGAAGAGAGGGGGCGCUCUGGUCACGUCUCGGUGGUCGGCGCAUGCGCAGCUGUCGGCCAUGCCGAAAGGAGCCAAAAGUGCCGCGGUCCGAGAGGAGGAAUGGAAGGGGGACGAGGAAGGGAACGGUUGAGAACAUCUUCAGUGCGUUGAGCUUGGAGGACGAGGAAGAGGAGGAGGAGGAGGAAGGAAACCGGCCCCAUAGAAAGAAGGACGAGGAAGAAGAGGAGGAAGAUGGGAGGAAGAAGAAGAACAGGAAGAAUGAAAAGAACUGCAGCAGGCGGCAGAACCAAUUUGCUGCUUUGGGCUCCGACGAAGGGGAGGAAGAAGAAGAGGAAGAAGCCGAAAAACCCGGAAGUCCAACCCCCAAAGAGGAAGAGGAAGUGGGGGGAAAAAAGGCCCAAAUCAGUAAAAAGGAAAGGAAAAAGAUGAAGAAACAGCUGGAUUACCAGCGCCAGGUGGCCACGAUGGCGGCGGCCGCGGCCGACAGCGACUUCGCGGUGUCUCAGGCCGACGGGUCCUCGCGGCACGCGGCGCUCGACAACGCCGCC
rnacentral:lncRNA from 1 species